CUUGCCUGGAAAUUAUAGACCUGUGAGCUUACCUUCUGUGGCUGUGAAAAUAUUUGAAAGGUUAUUAAGGGAUAAUAUUCAAUAAUUCCUUAAGAACAUGGUUAUCAGCAAAAAUCAGCACUGUUUUAUGAAGCACAGGUCAUGUCAAACUAACUUGAUUGCGUUCUACGAAUAAGUAAGUAGAAGUAUAGAUCGGGGUGUUGCAGUGG